rnacentral:rRNA from 1 species
CACCGCGGUUAUACGAGAGGCCCAAAUUGAUGAAAAACGGCGUAAAGCGUGGUUAAGAAAAAAAGAGAAAAUAUGGCCGAACAGCUUCAAAGCAGUUAUACGCAUCCGAAGUCACGAAGAACAAUCACGAAAGUUGCCCUAAAACCUCUGAUCCCACGAAAGCCAUAAAA